ensembl:lncRNA
AAGAUGCAGGAGAAAUCUACUAAUUUAGUUGUAGUCAUUGAACUGGACUCUUCUAUAAGAUGGCAAAUUAUAUUAUCUUCUUUUUCUUUAAUGUAAAGGUUAACAACAGAAUAUCCAGGACACUAUGGAGAAGAUAUGGACAUGAUGAUGUACACUUACGACUAUUACAUCCGUGGGGCAACCACAACUUUCUCUGCUGUGCACAGGGAUCGUCAGUGGAAAUUUAUUGUCUGCAGGAUGACAGACUAUGACUGCCCAUUUCAGAAUGUUUAAAAGAUUGAGUGCACUCCAUUUGGAAAUCUUGGGGACAGGCAGGGUGGGAUAAAAUUAGUGAUUACAGGAGACGAUCAGUUAGGUUCACAAAAAUAUACCAAGACUCAUCACCUGUCUGCUGAAGACAUAAUUCUUUCCCUCUGGAGCUAAUACGUAAAUUGCCAACCUACAUGCUUGCAACAGUGAAUUCAGAGGAUUCUUUCAAGCUGCACUGACAGUUGUAUCCUGCAAUUAAAUUUGCUUAUGACAUACAUGUUUAUGAUACACAAAUCUAUGGCAUAUGCAGUUACCUUUCUUAUAUAUACAUGUAGCCAUUCUAAACACAUACAACUUCCUUUCACAUAGCAGCUCUAUAGAAAUGGCUUCCCAGCUCCUCUGAAUGAGGUGGAAACAUACUAUAUGCUUCCCAACAUGCACUAGACUUUCCUGUCUUCUACUUUGUACUUGGAACAAAUCCAGUGACCCCAACCAACUUCUCAGACCUGGAAGUGUGCAGAAAAUGUAAUUGGGAGGUGUCUGAUGGGCUGCACCUGGCAUUACCUGUUACAGCCCUCAGCAUAACUCCACUGCAACAAAGGUCUGCCCACACAGGAGAAUUCCAGGCAUUUACAACAGGAAGACAUCAGUAUCGGAUAAAAAUGAGAGUAGAUCCAUCAAUAAAAACAGAAGACUAGCCCAGCUUUACUAAGAGUCUCUUUUAUAUUGUCUUUAAAAUCUCUGAUGAUAAAACUAACCAAGAACUCUGGUCUGGGCAAACCCAGGAGAAAGUCAGCCCAUUCAUGCUCAGUAAAUAUGGAUAUGACAUUCUUCAGGAGUCUGAAUUUCAGGUGGAUUUGGUUUCCACUGUGGGUGCCUGUACGACAUCCAUCUUCCCUUGGUAAUACAAUCUUGGUUUAGAAGAGACAAAGUUAGUGACUUAGGUGACCUUAGUUCCUCCAGUUUGCAGAUCUUAUUGCCUAUAAAGUAUAAACUGACCAUGUUUCAACACUGCACAACACUUGUGCAGCUGCAGUCCAACAAGAAAGAAUAUUGAUCUGUUUCAGAAAGAUCAGAGGUAGUAUUUUCACUCUUGAACAAGUCAGAAUUUAGGGCUCAGUUUCUUAGUUGAUGAAUUCAAUGGUGAACUUAGCAAUGGCUUUGGUGCUGCUGGCUCAAGGGCUGUGAUGACUCCAUGUGCCAAUUUAAGGCUGCAAAGCUUCAUAAGAAACAGUGGUGUCUGCCAAUGAGUUUCCAUAUUCCAAGCAUUUUUAGCAUGUUUAGAAGCAUACCCUCUUGUUCAAUAAAGGAAUGUUAGGAUUUGCUUUGCUGUAGCCUUGUUCUUUAUUGAUUUUCCUUUCACCAGCAUAUUAAUUCACACACAAACAAA